UGUUCAGCAAAUUAGGUUAAAUCUGAAUCUUGGUGGUCUCGUUUCCCCGCGGCCUCUUGCCAUCGAUUAUCCACGCACACACGCGCCUCUUCUGCCGGAAGAAGGGGACACAAAGGAUGAAACGAGAACGCCGCGUGUCCAACCGAACGGAAAGUGGAGAAAAAUUGCGGGCAAAUUACUUUGAGUAUAUGUUACAAAUGGUGCGGUGAUAGGUCGGAUUUUUAUGUAAGAAGCUCAUUUGGCAAAUCGAGUAACCUCGUAAAAAGUGGAGAAAAUUGAUGAAAUUAUAUAAGAUAAGCGUGGAUGCUUCGCGAUUGAAAAGCAAUUAAGAAGAGUAAUUAUUAUGUGAAUUUUAAUAUAUAGGAAUUGCUAUUAAAGGGAGCCAUGAAACCUGCUUGGGAACCAGAGAGUAAUUUACGACUGAAAUAUCCAAGGUUAAUAACGUCUGUCAAUAUCGAUAAAUGGGUAAAAAUGGAUUUGGCCGUAUUUUCUUCUUUAUUUUAUAAAAGCGUUUAAAUGUUUAUGUAUGUAUAUGUAAUCUUUAUAAUACAAACUCUACAUUGUAUCAUGAAAGAAGCUGUCGUAAAAUAAAUGAUCACCCUGAACAAUUUAAAACCAUCUUUCCGAACAUGAGAUUAUAUAGAUUCUUCUUUUUCUUUUUCAAGACGUAUAUAAAUAAUUGACAAUCAAAAUUUCGACUCAUUUGUAGUAACAUUGCAUGUACGCUGAUGCUCCUCGAGUCUUAAAUAAAUUAUCUAUAGCGGCAAACUACUGCAAA